rnacentral:rRNA from 1 species
AGUGAACGCUGGCGGUAGGCCUAACACAUGCAAGUCGAACGGCAGCACAGUAAGAGCUUGCUCUUACGGGUGGCGAGUGGCGGACGGGUGAGGAAUACAUCGGAAUCUACUUUUUCGUGGGGGAUAACGUAGGGAAACUUACGCUAAUACCGCAUACGACCUACGGGUGAAAGCAGGGGAUAUUCGGACCUUGCGCGAUUGAAUGAGCCGAUGUCGGAUUAGCUAGUUGGCGGGGUAAAGGCCCACCAAGGCGACGAUCCGUAGCUGGUCUGAGAGGAUGAUCAGCCACACUGGAACUGAGACACGGUCCAGACUCCUACGGGAGGCAGCAGUGGGGAAUAUUGGACAAUGGGCGCAAGCCUGAUCCAGCCAUACCGCGUGAGUGAAGAAGGCCUUCGGGUUGUAAAGCCCUUUUGUUGGGAAAGAAAAGCAGCAGGUUAAUACCCCGCUGUUCUGACGGUACCCAAAGAACAAGCACCGGCUAACUUCGUG